rnacentral:rRNA from 1 species
AGAACGAACGCUGGCGGCAUGCCUAACACAUGCAAGUCGAACGAGACCUUCGGGUCUAGUGGCGCACGGGUGCGUAACGCGUGGGAAUCUGCCCUUAGGUUCGGAAUAACAGUUAGAAAUGACUGCUAAUACCGGAUAAUGACGUAAGUCCAAAGAUUUAUCGCCUAGGGAUGAGCCCGCGUAGGAUUAGCUAGUUGGUGGGGUAAAAGCCUACCAAGGCGACGAUCCUUAGCUGGUCUGAGAGGAUGAUCAGCCACACUGGGACUGAGACACGGCCCAGACUCCUACGGGAGGCAGCAGUGGGGAAUAUUGGACAAUGGGCGAAAGCCUGAUCCAGCAAUGCCGCGUGAGUGAUGAAGGCCUUAGGGUUGUAAAGCUCUUUACCGGAUGAUAAUGACAGUACCGGAGAAUAAGCUCCGGCUAACUCCGUGCCAGCAGCCGC